rnacentral:tRNA from 1 species
GGAGGAGUGGCCGAGCGGUUUAAGGCAACGGACUUGAAAUCCGUCGUGCUCGUAAGGGUACCGAGGGUUCGAAUCCCUCCUCCUCCA